rnacentral:rRNA from 1 species
AAACUCUACAAUGCAGGCAACUGCGAUAGGGGAACAUCGAGUGAUACUCAUCUUGGGUGUCUGUCCUCCCGUCUAAAAAACGGGAGUUAGCAAGGGCCGGGCAAGACCGGUGCCAGCCGCCGCGGUAAUACCGGCGGCUCGAGUGGUGGCCGAUAUUAUUGAGUCUAAAGGGUCCGUAGCCGGCUUUGCAAGUCUUUUGGGAAAUCCAGCGGCUUAACCGUUGGUCGUCCGGGAGAUACUACAUUGCUUGGGACUGGGAGAGGUAGGAGGUACUCAGGGGGUAGGAGUGAAAUCCUGUAAUCCUUUGGGGACCACCGGUGGCGAAGGCGUCCUACCAGAACAGGUCCGACGGUGAGGGACGAAAGCUAGGGGCACGAACCGG